GAUGAACGCUGGCGGCGUGCCUAAUACAUGCCAGUCGAGCGAACAGAUGAGGAGCUUGCUCCUCUGACGUUAGCGGCGGACGGGUGAGUAACACGUGGAUAACCUACCUAUAAGACUGGGGUAACUUCGGGAAACCGGAGCUAAUACCGGAUAAUAUAUUGAACCGCAUGGUUCAAUAGUGAAAGACGGUUUUGCUGUCACUUAUAGAUGGAUCCGCGCCGCAUUAGCUAGUUGGUAAGGUAACGGCUUACCAAGGCAACGAUGCGUAGCCGACCUGAGAGGGUGAUCGGCCACACUGGAACUGAGACACGGUCCAGACUCCUACGGGAGGCAGCAGUAGGGAAUCUUCCGCAAUGGGCGAAAGCCUGACGGAGCAACGCCGCGUGAGUGAUGAAGGUCUUCGGAUCGUAAAACUCUGUUAUUAGGGAAGAACAAAUGUGUAAGUAACUAUGCACGUCUUGACGGUACCUAAUCAGAAAGCCACGGCUAACUACGUG
rnacentral:rRNA from 1 species